rnacentral:rRNA from 1 species
AUUGAACGCUGGCGGCAGGCCUAACACAUGCAAGUCGAGCGGAUGAAGGGAGCUUGCUCCUGGAUUCAGCGGCGGACGGGUGAGUAAUGCCUAGGAAUCUGCCUGGUAGUGGGGGAUAACGUCCGGAAACGGGCGCUAAUACCGCAUACGUCCUGAGGGAGAAAGUGGGGGAUCUUCGGACCUCACGCUAUCAGGUGAGCCUAGGUCGGAUUAGCUAGUUGGUGGGGUAAAGGCCUACCAAGGCGACGAUCCGUAACUGGUCUGAGAGGAUGAUCAGUCACACUGGAACUGAGACACGGUCCAGACUCCUACGGGAGGCAGCAGUGGGGAAUAUUGGACAAUGGGCGAAAGCCUGAUCCAGCCAUGCCGCGUGUGUGAAGAAGGUCUUCGGAUUGUAAAGCACUUUAAGUUGGGAGGAAGGGCAGUAAGUUAAUACCUUGCUGUUUUGACGUUACCAACAGGAUAAGCACCGGCUAACUUCGUG